rnacentral:sRNA from 1 species
UUGUAGUACUGGGGAUUCAACCAAGGGUCUCAUCCUGCUAGCCAGGGCUUUGCCACCAAGUCACACCCCCAGAUCCUUCCUAUAGGAUUCUAGGCAGGUGCUCUACCACUGAGCCACACCCCA